CUACGGAGAGUGCAAGCGUUAUUCGGAAUCACUGGGCGUAAAGGACGCGUAGGCGGGGUGGAAAGUCAGAUGUGAAAUCCUACAGCUUAACUGUAGAACUGCAUUUGAAACUGCUAACCUAGAGUAUGGGAGGGGGAGAUGGAAUUAGUGGUGUAGGGGUAAAAUCCGUAGAUAUCACUAGGAAUACCGAAAGCGAAGGCGAUCUCCUGGAACAUAACUGACGCUAAGGCGUGAAAGCGUGGGGAGCGAACAGGAUUAGAUACCCUAGUAGUCC
rnacentral:rRNA from 1 species